rnacentral:rRNA from 1 species
CAGCCGUAAACUAUGCGCGUUAGGUGUAUCGGUGACCACGAGUCACCGAGGUGCCGAAGGGAAACCGUGAAACGUGCCGCCUGGGAAGUACGGUCGCAAGGCUGAAACUUAAAGGAAUUGGCGGGGGAGCACAACAACGGGUGGAGCCUGCGGUUUAAUUGGACUCAACGCCGGGAAGCUCACCGGAUAGGACAGCAAUAUGUAGGCCAGGCUGAAGACCUUGCCUGAAUCGCUGAGAGGAGGUGCAUGGCGUAGACGUCU